GACGAACGCUGGCGGCGUGCCUAAUACAUGCAAGUCGAACGAGAGCGACCGGUGCUUGCACUGGUCAAUCUAGUGGCGAACGGGUGAGUAACACGUGGGUAACCUGCCCAUCAGAGGGGGAUAACAUCCGGAAACGGAUGCUAAAACCGCAUAGGUCUUCGAGCCGCAUGGCUUGAAGAGGAAAAGAGGCGCAAGCUUCUGCUGAUGGAUGGACCCGCGGUGCAUUAGCUAGUUGGUGAGGUAACGGCUCACCAAGGCCGUGAUGCAUAGCCGACCUGAGAGGGUGGUCGGCCACAUUGGGACUGAGACACGGCCCAAACGCCUACGGGAGGCAGCAGUAGGGAAUCGUCCGCAAUGGACGCAAGUCUGACGGAGCAACGCCGCGUGAGUGAAGAAGGUUUUCGGAUCGUAAAACUCUGUUGUUAGAGAAGAACAAGUGCUAGAGUAACUGUUAGCGCCUUGACGGUAUCUAACCAGAAAGCCACGGCUAACUACGUG
rnacentral:rRNA from 1 species